rnacentral:tRNA from 1 species
GGGACUGUAGCUCAGUUGGUAGAGCAACGGACUUUUAAUCCGUUGGUCGUGGGUCCGAGCCCCACCGGUCUCA